GGGCCCCAGAAGCAGCAGCAGCAGAUAGAAGAGGAUCACAAGGACAGUGGUUGGACUAUUCAGCUGAAGAAAGGAGAUCCCCUGUUGCAUACUUACGGAGUCACAGACACAAGGGGACAUUCCAAGUCCUGAAUUUCAGAGCUAUUGCACACCUAGGAACUUGCCAUGUCUUCCUUCUUCACAUCCACUGUGAUUUGCCAGAUGCAUCAGUAUGGGAGCAGCGAUGCAGAACUUGAGGACAUUUCAUUUUGAGGGAUGAGGCACAUGUUUUGAAACCAUUG